CAGGGAUUCAGCUUAGGUCUGAUUGCUCACCACACAGAAAGCCAAUCACUGAGACAACAAGUACUGCCAGGAAGAAAGGCUUUAUUGCUGGUGAUGCCAGCCAGGAUAUGGGAGACAAGUCUAAAAUCUGUCUCUGUAACCAAUAAAGUUAGGAGUUUAUGUAGGAGUUGCUCAACAGGCAGUAGGUAGUUGAAUCAGGGUUCUGGCACCUUGCUGUUAGGAUGCAGCGAUCUGGAAAUCUUCAGCUUUCUGAUACUAUCUGGGAGGCCUGACAGCUGGUUUCCUGAGAAAUAAACUCAGUUUGUGCUCAGCACACUAAUUCUCCAGUUUGAAAAGUCCC
rnacentral:lncRNA from 10 species